rnacentral:tRNA from 1 species
UGCCCGAUGGUGUAACGGUAGCACGGCAGAUUCUGGAUCUGUCUGUCAAGGUUCGAAUCCUUGUCGGGCAGCCA